GACGAACGCUGGCGGCGUGCUUAACACAUGCAAGUCGAACGGAAAGGCCCUGCUCUUGUGGGGUGCUCGAGUGGCGAACGGGUGAGUAACACGUGAGUAACCUGCCCUUGACUUUGUGAUAACUUUACGAAACUGGGGCUAAUAUCGGAUAGGAUCUCCUGCUGCAUGGGGUGGGUUGGAAAGUUUCGGCGGUGGGGGCUGGACUGGCUGCUUAUCCGCUUGUUGGUGGGGUAGUGGCUUACCAAGGCUUUGACGGAUAGCCUGCCUGGGAGGGUGACCGGCCACAUUGGGACUGAGAUACGGACCAGACUCCUACGGGAGGCAGCAGUGGGGAAUAUUGCACAAUGGGCGGAAGCCUGAUGCAGAAGCGCCGCGUGCGGGAUGACGGCCUUCGGGUUGUAAACCGCUUUCGCCUGUGACGAAGCGUGAGUGACGGUAAUGGGUAAAGAAGCACCGGCUAACUACGUG
rnacentral:rRNA from 1 species